AGUGAACAUUAAACGGCCGCGGUACCCUAACCGUGCAAAGGUAGCGUAAUCAUUUGUCUAUUAAUUGUAGACCAGUAUGAAAGGCAAAAUGAGGGUUUAACUGUCUCUUGUAGUAAAUCAAUUAAACUGAUCUCCUAGUAAAAAAGCUAGAAUAUUCACAUAAGACCAGAAGACCCUGUGAAGCUUAAACUAAACUAUUAAACCCUAUAAUAACUACUUUCGGUUGGGGCGACCUUGGAAAAAAAAAGAACUUCCAAACAUAAUGACUAUAAACCCAUUCACAAAACGGCCCACAAGCCCUAAUUAGACCCAGCAUAGCUGAUAAUUGAACCAAGUUACUCCAGGGAUAACAGCGCCAUCUUCUUCAAGAGUCCAUAUCAAAAAGAAGGUUUACGACCUCGAUGUUGGAUCAGGACAUCCUAA
rnacentral:rRNA from 1 species